rnacentral:siRNA from 1 species
UGAGGAUGGUUCUAACGUCGU